rnacentral:rRNA from 1 species
UACAGAGGUCCCAAGCGUUGUUCGGAUUCACUGGGCGUAAAGGGUGCGUAGGUGGUAGGGUAAGUUUGAUGUGAAAGCUCCGAGCUCAACUCGGAAAUGGCAUUGAAUACUAUCCUGCUUGAGGGUUGGAGGGGGGACUGGAAUUCUCGGUGUAGCAGUGAAAUGCGUAGAGAUCGAGAGGAACACCGGUGGCGAAGGCGAGUCCCUGGACAACACCUGACACUGAGGCACGAAAGAUAGGGGAGCAAACAGG